GAGUGGCUGGGGCAGCCGGCGUACCCUGCUCGGGUUUUGCCGCUGCCCGCAGCAGGCGUGCUUCGCAUCUUGCGAACAAGGCCCUGUUUUAUCUCCGCAUCCCGGAGCACGGGUGGCACACAAGGCGUAGGCUCUCCAGCCCGCUGCCGCGGUACCAGGUUGUUGGGCCCGUGCAAUUCCGCACGAGCCCUGCACCCCGUGCCGCCCACGGAGCUCCAGGUGGGGCGCGGCGUUGGGGCUCCCCGCGUCGCGUUCCGCCUUUGCCCUGCAAGCCCUGAUAUAUUACGGAAGCGCUAUCCAUGCGUCGUGUCCUUUGGCUGACGCCGGUUCCGCCUGCGCGCGAAGCCGGCUGCUGACUUCGCCGAACGGCCCCUACAACAGCGACGGGCUCG
rnacentral:misc_RNA from 1 species